GUCUGCCACUCAGGGCAGCGGGGGAAAAAAUGUGGAAGGGCGGGUGGGAAUUCAACAAACCCUCUUUAAGAGCAUCGAAACACUCAACAAGAGCGAAUUUGUGCUGAGGGGAAUGACUGCCACCACCCAUGUGCGCACACACACACACACACACACACACACACACACACACGGUCAGCCGAAAGUAGAGACCCCCUUGGGCUCAGGGUCUCUAAGUCCUAUCACACAGAAGUUAGGCAGCUGUGGAAGUCUGACCUGCAGGACCCAUCCCGUGCAUCCUGGAGUCAUUUGCAUAGCGCCCCGGGAGAGCGAAAUCACUCCUCGUGGAGGCAGACAUGGGGGAACAGAUAAAGCCCACGAAGAAAGCUUCUUUUGGACUUGAGAGAUUAGGGUAGACGUGAGCCCAUUACCGCUGUUUUAGGGCAGACUCCUCUCUGUUACAGAUAACCGGGAUCGGCACCGAUUGGAUUACUUAAUAAUGGGUCGCUGUAGUUCUGCCGUCAUCGCUUAUCGGGUACAUUAGUUUAGAACCUGCAAUUUUGAACUUAGCAUGAUUGAGCUUUCCAAAGAUUGAAUUACCAGACUUUUGUUGGUGAGUGUCUCUGUGAAAUUUCCUGAAAAGGAUAGUCCUGGUCCUUUGUGUGAAAGUGAAGCUGAGUCCCAUACUUCACUGAUAUUUACAGACACCCAAAUGAUAGUACUAAUGUACUUUAAUGUGUGUCUGCCCGAUGGGAAGGCUGUGUCUGCACUUCGGGGCUUUUGUUUUUCUUAAGAUAAUGCAGAGGACUGUGGGCCCUUUGUGAGCCUAAUCGGAACAGGCAGGGAUUUUUUUUUUCCUUCCUUCUUGUUUUCCUCAAAGUCUUAUUUACAAGAAGCCUUAUGCCAAAUGCUUUUUUUUUUUUUUUGUAAACGAUUCCAUGUUUGCCCUUAAUAAGUGUUACAGCACCAAAAAUUUAUCCUAAUAUCUGUCUCCUUAAUGGCUUAGGUAGAGAAUGGAGGAACAAAGGCAAGUUGAUUUUUAACAUGCUGUACCAGAAAAUACCUACGCUGGGAAAGAGUGUCUUAAUCUCCAAGCCAUGAAGAUUGAAUGUUUUCAGAGUAAUUUUACAGACAUUGUGCCUGUCAAUGCCGGCAGGGUUUAGAGUUCUUGAGUCACUGUAGGCUUAACAAGCAUCCAGGCAUGAACCAACUUCGUCAUUCUGAGCAAGAGUAAUAAAUGUUGAUCCGUGGUGACUGAGCAGAAUGAAGCAAUAAUUUACCCGUGCUCUCUUUGCACAGCUUGUGUACAACUUCUGCUCAUCAGAGACGGCUCCCGAGUCAAUUUACAGCAAAGACAAAUAAAGGACCAGAACAUCCCAGCCCAGAAAGAUCCUGAAGUUUUGGGUUUCUCUGAGCAAGGAAUAAAUAUGCAAGGAUGGUGGUGAGUGGCCCGCUGCCUAUCGCUAAGUGAAAUCACAAGCCAAGUGUGAAGCCUACGAUGGGUCUGAGCCUGGUGGAGAGACUUGAGAACCAAGCUUUGGGGUCUUGGACUGCAUUGUCUCCACCCAUCCCCUUCCCGUGGAAGCCCCCUCAUUAUCCAUGCAUACUCAGGAAUGUGGCCUCAUCAUUCUACCAGAUGGAUGCUAGUAUCACCAACGAAAUUGCUGGUUGGAACUGGCUCCUGGGCACUAGAUGCGUGAGAAUGCCAACCCUUCUCCAGACAAUCUCCCUUCCUUGCAGACUGUGGUUCAGCUAUGGUAUACUCAGUGCAGAUGGAAGAAACGGACAGAAAGGUAAGACGCCCAGAAUGCAUUUUUCUGCCUUCUCACUAGAUGAAGUCAGUGAUAGUUAGCACUAAUAUAUGAUUGUAUUGUUUAUCUCCCUAAGUGCAAAAUCUGAAGUUCCUCCUGCUUUGUGCCAAGGCAUAGCUAGGUACAGAGACGUCCUCAGCUGUGUGGCUACUGAUGGAGCAGGAAUGCAUGGCCCUGACAGGAAGGGAAUGAGGCUGGAGUCAGGGUCAGUGGGACUGCAGGAACAGUACUCAGUUCCUGCCCACUGGCCUUCAGUGCUCUUGUUGCAUAUCUGAGGCUAGAAGAGGAGCCAUACUUGCCCACUGCGGCUGCAGCUGACACUAAGCUGACAAAUCAGCAGCCAGGAGAGACCCAGCAGGACCAUCUAGAGACACAAAGACAGCUGUUGCAGAGCUGUGCCCCUCCAUUCUCACAUUCUCCCCCAAGAGACCUAAGCAACAGUUCUAGAGAACUUGAUAGAUUUUUAUAUUCUAACAAGCCAAGAAAAAAAAAUAAGACACAAAGCAAGUCAAUUAAUUCGAUGAGAGUUUUGCAUAUUUAUGUGCUGGAUUGCCAUCCCUUCAGACUCUUGGGGCUUUUCACUACAGGGAGGCAUAGAUUGAAGUUGCAAGAAAACAGUCCUAAAAAUACAGCACAGGUUUCUGAUGCACUUGUCGUGUUGCUCUGUAAGCAGAACCACCACAGAUGUGCCGAGGGGAGCUUUCUUGGCCUACUGGCAUAUAGCAGUACAAAAUUGCUCCAGACUUUACAUGUUAAUAGCAAACACUUUGGAAAGUGACUAGAUGUGAUGAUUGUAUUAAACCUCAUGAGACUGCAGCACUUGGAAAGCAGUGAGCAUACCAAGUGAACAGCUACGUUUACUGUUGCAGCUCCAGCGCCUACUCCAAGCCCACAGUAGGUGCUCAAUAUGUAUUCAUUGGAUGGAUGGAUGGAUGGUAAUACCACUGAAAUUGACUUCAGUGAGAUCAUCUUGUCAUUCUAAUUGCAACAAGGAGACACUGAAGAAGUAAUGUAAGAGGAUUUUAAGGCAUCGUUGCAGAAAAGGCAUCACUUCAAGCUCAACGUUGCUGUAGUUGUGAGUUCCAAAUUAAAACAAUUAUAAACC